GCGCCUGGAGCUCAGGGGAUAGAGCAGCUGCCUUCUAAGCAGCGGGCCGGAGGUUCGAGUCCUCUCAGGCGCGCCA
rnacentral:tRNA from 1 species